UGACCACGGGCGGCCCACGACCAGACGGUUACAGGUGUCGCCAUCAAUCCGUUGCCCCCUCUGCCUAUAAAGGGGGGACUCAGAUACGUUAUUCUUUAAGCUCAUUUUUCCUAUCUCAAAACUCUGCUAAAUUCUCCGUUCGAGCACUCCAUUCUUGUUGAGGCAGAGAACUGACUUGAGCGUCGGAGGGUCUUGCCGGAGCAACCCCACCUCCGGUUUAGACUUCCCUUGCAGGUCCCGGCGGCGACCGCGACUUUUCCGACUCCAGCUUCUCCGGCGCAAGCAGAUUUUUGCACCAAC
rnacentral:lncRNA from 1 species